GGGUGAGUUGGGGAUCAAGUCUAUAGGGGAUAUCCUUUUAUAACGUGCUUCACCCAUCAGAGGCAGUAUCUGAAUCAGUCUGGAAGAUGGACGUUAACCAUGAUGGUUGUGUAGAGGUUAACUUUAUCACAAUAACCAUCAAGUAUAUCCUCAACUUAUUGGAGGCUUAUCUUUAAUCAAAGUCCAGAUUAAUUAAACUAACCAAAACAAAUUCCGAUGCAUGUUAGUGUGGGCCACAUCCGGAUGAGACUUAAUGGGAUAAA
rnacentral:lncRNA from 1 species